rnacentral:lncRNA from 1 species
GGAAAAUAGAAGCUAAAAGAAAAAUUAAAAAGGUUUGGAUUCCAAAAGGAACCAACAUAGCUAAUCUUGAAGGACCCAAGAAAACUUGGGUACCUAAAAUUGUAUGAUUUUCUUGUGUAGGAGUGUCUUGCAGCCAAGGUCGACAAAAACUAUUAGUACUUGGAUAGUGGCUGCUCAAGACACAUGACGGGUGACAAGGAGCAAUUCUUCACCCUAAAGCCUA